rnacentral:rRNA from 1 species
AUUGAACGCUGGCGGCAGGCCUAACACAUGCAAGUCGAGCGGAGCGACGGACGGGUGAGUAAUGCCUAGGAAUCUGCCUGGUAGUGCGGGAUAACGUCCGGAAACGGGCCCUAAUACCGCAUACUAUCAGAUGAGCCUAGGUCGAAUUAGCUAGUUGGAGGGGUAAAGGCCUACCAAGUCGACGAUCCUUAAAUGGUCUGAGAGGAUGAUCAGACACACUGGAACUGAGACCCGGUCCAGACUCCUACGGGAGGAAGCAGUGGGGAAUAUUGGACAAUGGGCGAACGCCUACUCCAGCCAUGCGGCGUGUGUGAAGAAGGUCUUCGGAUUGUAAAGCACUUUAAGUUGGGAGGCGUUACCAACAGAAUAAGCUCCGGCUAACUUCGUGCCAGCAGCCGCGGUAAUAC